ensembl:lincRNA Gm43688 predicted gene 43688
UGGAGACAGACAUGCUGGGCUUUAUCACAAUGCUGAUUUUCUCCAGAUUGAUCUGGGUCUACUAAGACUCAGCAGGAGUUCAGGGAAGUGGAGAAGCCAAGACCCAGUGAUGACAGUAUCGUUAACUACAUGGACCGCAGACUAACAAUGCCAAUGCAGAUGAUGGAUGGCGGUGAUGUCAGAGAUGCUGAUGCGACCUGUUCAGCGUCCCUCUUGGUCUCAUUCUAAGUGCUUUUCAUGUAGCAACUCACUCGAUCCUCAUCUUCGCCGCAUAAAAUCAAUACCAUUAAAAACUUUUAUUUUCCAGAUG